rnacentral:rRNA from 1 species
AAUCAACGCUGGCGGCGUGCCUAACACAUGCAAGUCGAACGCGAAAGUCCCGCAAGGGAUGAGUAGAGUGGCAAACGGGUGAGUAACACGUGGGUGACCUGCCCUCAGCUCUGGGAUAAGCCUGGGAAACCGGGUCUAAUACCGGAUAUGACUCCAUGACGCAUGUUGUGGGGUGGAAAGCCUUGUGCGGCUGAGGAUGGGCCCGCGGCCUAUCAGCNGUUGGUGGGGUGAUGGCCUACCAAGGCGACGACGGGUAGCCGGCCUGAGAGGGCGACCGGGCCACACUGGGACUGAGACACGGCCCAGGACUCCUACGGGAGGCAGCAGUGGGAAUCUUGCGCAAUGGGCGAAAGCCUGACGCAGCGACGCCGCGUGAGGGAUGACGGCCUCGGU